rnacentral:sRNA from 1 species
GUGUCAUGAAGGACAUUUGUACUUGAAUUCAUGGAGUGCCACUCCUGAUGGGAGAGGAGGCCCAUGACAGUGACAGUCAUGCUAGCGAUCGCGGACACCACACCAUGCUCCCUUUGCCAGCUGGCUCCUUCAGCGAGCCCUCGCGCCAGGCCUGGGAGGCAGACAUGCUGAUCGCGUGGACAGCACCACAUUAUUGGGUCAUGCGUGCCAGGACUGUGCAAAGAGGAAGUUAGAAGAGAAUGGAAUUGAAGUUUCAAAAAAACUCAGACAGUCAGAUGCUGAUGAUGCUGGAGGGUCUUGAAAUCUUUAAAACCAGUAAAACCUGCAACUUGAAAACUAGCCUUCUGUAACCACGGUGCCCAAACGAAGAGGAAUGUAUGGAGAACUCCACGUGGAUCUCUGAUUGCGAAACCGUCACAUACACCAAGAGAGCCACAUGGGCAUGUGGCCCUCAAGGCUGGGUGAGAGGGCUCCCCUGUGUGUUGAACUAUGCAGGAGGUGACGCAGACACACUUCAGGUGGACUUUGCAAGGACUGAUGGAUAGCUACCUCAGGGGCCAGAAUCCGUGGGAAGGGGUGGACCUGGUGUUCCCGUUCCCAUCUGACAGGCUCUCUUUUGUCAAGGUGGUAUUUUUCGUAAUAAAAGGGGAAGAGUAAAGA